rnacentral:lncRNA from 1 species
GACCAGUCCUUCUAUUUUAUCCCAUUAUUUUUUAUUUUGAGCAAAAAUAAUACAUCGUAUAUCAGAAAAUAUUUUCUCUAGCCCAAAUUUUUACCAAAUGUUUUGGACUAAUUUAGAAGCUUAAAUGUCAAAAACAACAUUGCAUGGGUCCAUGAUAUUUUUGUGGAAAUAGAAAAAAUUUGACUAAAAAUAAAAAAUGAUGUAUAACUC